GCUGAUUACAUCCAUCCCUCGUUGCCAA
rnacentral:snRNA from 1 species